CACAUGGACACCAUGUGACUACAUAGUACUCUAGUGCACAUGCUUCUUUUUGUUGUUGUUUUUGCACUACACUCGAACCAGGCGUUAGCGUUACCUUGCGGCUGCCCCCUUCCCAUCCCCCCCAAACCCGAACCCGAAGCUUCGCCACCACAUGGCGAAUCAUAUUCAGCUUCUCGGUUUUUUCACUCGCUCUUCUCUCGCUCUCUAUUUCUUUCGUUUGAUAUUGGUGAAGGCUGUGUGAGCAGGUGCGGAAAGUAGCGAUUGUAAUUGCUUGUUGGAAGUUUCAUUAGAAACUGGGUACACGUCCGACGCUACCUACACACCGGCAGGAGAAAAGAAGCUCCCUUUGGGUGCGUUUUAAAAACCUCCACACCCUUUAUUGGCAGCUCCCAAUCCCAACUGGCCCAAGUUUCCCAAAGUGACAUCCCUUUCCCCCCGUUGGCCGUUUGUUUGUACCUUCACUUAAUACCUUUAACAGGUUCUAAUGUUCUAAACCCAGUGAAAUGGCGCCAUUUGCCGUGCAGAACUUUGCGAGACAUUUUGGGCCACUGCCGGGAAGGGCAGGCGCACACAGGAGCGCACACACGCCACAUUAACAAAGGCGGGGAUCGGGUCUGCAAUCUAUUGCUUAACAAUCUGCUCACGUACCUACGGGCAUGCACAAGUGUGCUGGAGUGUCGGCAAUGUGCCUGUGUGUGUGUGUGUGUGUGUGUGUGUGUGUGUGUGUGUGUGUGUGUGUGUGCGAGUUUUAGGGAGUGUGAGUGUUUGCUGAACCCUUUCGGAAUUAAAUUGAACGUACAAACGGAGAGCGUCGUAGAUCCCCGCAUACAAUUGUGGUAAACAAAUCAUCGCUCCUACUACUUAUCCUCUUUAUGCUUUAAAGUGUCUCGGUUCUGCCGUUCGAUUAACGUCAUUCGGGCAGCCUGUCCCCGCGUACGGGGGGAGGUUUGGUUUGCGAGAUUGUAGCAUUCUGGAUAAUUCGUAUUCGCUCGGCAUAGCGGCCAAUGGUGCGGAGAAAUAUUCUUCCCCGUUGGCCGUAGUUCAGCACCCGAAUACCCAAAUACGUACGGGUUCCGAGCCAAACCGAGUGCUACCGGCACGGCAUUAUUGGUUUGGAGUAGAUCAUAUCGGAGCACUACCAGAGGAGUUGGUGGGGAAUUGUUUCUUUUUGCCGCAAGGUACACGUAGCUGCCGGAAACCUAGAUGCGCAGAUCGAAAAUAUCGAGUACAAUGUAGCGCAGAUGUUUGCCGCUAAACUAUACCCAAAUUGUCUAUCAUUCAGCAGAGCUACAAAAAUCGCUACAUGAAGAGUGACUACGGUUGUUUCUCCAAGCCACUAUGGUGGGCACUUUUGGGCAAAAGGUGUG